CAGAAGGGUAUAAAAAUUACUCUGUUCUCAGUACAGAAGUCCAAAAGCAGUUCAUACCUCUCUUGAAUGGCAGAAGACUUUAGAGCUGAGAACAGGAUUUGAUAUUAGUUAUAUUUUUGCCUGAGAGAGGAAAAGAAGCAGAACAUAUAUUGUUUCCCUCAGUAAGAGACUAUAAGAAUGAAUGGACAUAUAUCAAACACCCCUCCUGGUGGAUAUGGAAGUUAUUUUCCUCAAAUGAAUGGCUAUGGUUCCCCAACAUUUGCCCAGUCAGAGAGGGAGCAGAAUUCAAGAACAAGUGCAAAAGCUCUUUAUGGUAAGGCGGCAUGAA
rnacentral:lncRNA from 14 species